ACAAGCGGUGGAGCAUGUGUUUAAUUCGAUGAUACGCGAAGAACCUUACCGGGGUUUGACAUGCAGGUGAUCGCCGUUGAAAGACGGUUUCCUCUUCGGAGGCACCUGCACAGGUGCUGCAUGGCUGUCGUCAGCUCGUGUCGCGAGAUGUUGGGUUAAGUCCCGCAACGAGCGCAACCCUCGUCCUUAGUUGCUAACGGUUCGGCCGAGCACUCUAGGGAGACUGCCUUCGCAAGGAGGAGGAAGGUGAGGACGACGUCAAGUCAUCAUGGCCCUUACGGCCAGGGCUACACACGUGCUACAAUGGGGCGUACAGAGAGCUGCGAUACCGCGAGGUGGAGCCAAUCUCUUAAAGCGUCUCUCAGUUCGGAUUGUUCUCUGCAACUCGAGAACAUGAAGCUGGAAUCACUAGUAAUCGCAGAUCAGCUAUGCUGCGGUGAAUACGUUCCCGGGUCUU
rnacentral:rRNA from 1 species